rnacentral:rRNA from 1 species
CCCUUAGAUGUCCUGGGCCGCACGCGCGUUACACUGAUGCAUUCAACGAGCUUAUAACCUUGGCCGAGAGGCCUGGGCAAUCUUGUUAACGUGCAUCGUGAUAGGGAUAGGUUAUUGAAAUUAUUAAUCUUGAACGAGGAAUUCCUAGUAAACGCAGAUCAUCAAUCUGCAUUGAUUACGUCCCUGCCCUUUGUACACACCGCCCGUCGCACCUACCGAUUGGAUGGUCCGGUGAAGCCUCGGGAUUGUGGUUCUUGCCGCUUUAUUGUGGCGUGACCGCGAGAACUUGUCUAAACCUUAUCAUCUAGAGGAAGGUGAAGUCGUAACA